rnacentral:rRNA from 2 species
AGUAACACGUGGGUAACCUGCCUGUAAGACUGGGAUAACUCCGGGAAACCGGGGCUAAUACCGGAUGCUUGUUUGAACCGCAUGGUUCAAACAUAAAAGGUGGCUUCGGCUACCACUUACAGAUGGACCCGCGGCGCAUUAGCUAGUUGGUGAGGUAAUGGCUCACCAAGGCGACGAUGCGUAGCCGACCUGAGAGGGUGAUCGGCCACACUGGGACUGAGACACGGCCCAGACUCCUACGGGAGGCAGCAGUAGGGAAUCUUCCGCAAUGGACGAAAGUCUGACGGAGCAACGCCGCGUGAGUGAUGAAGGUUUUCGGAUCGUAAAGCUCUGUUGUUAGGGAAGAACAAGUACCGUUCGAAUAGGGCGGUACCUUGACGGUACCUAACCAGAAAGCCACGGCUAACUACGUGCCAGCAGCCGCGGUAAUACGUAGGUGGCAAGCGUUGUCCGGAAUUAUUGGGCGUAAAGGGCUCGCAGGCGGUUUCUUAAGUCUGAUGUGAAAGCCCCCGGCUCAACCGGGGAGGGUCAUUGGAAACUGGGGAACUUGAGUGCAGAAGAGGAGAGUGGAAUUCCACGUGUAGCGGUGAAAUGCGUAGAGAUGUGGAGGAACACCAGUGGCGAAGGCGACUCUCUGGUCUGUAACUGACGCUGAGGAGCGAAAGCGUGGGGAGCGAACAGGAUUAGAUACCCUGGUAGUCCACGCCGAACGAUGAGUGCUAAGUGUUAGGGGGUUUCCGCCCCUUAGUGCUGCAGCUAACGCAUUAAGCACUCCGCCUGGGGAGUACGGUCGCAAGACU